UACGAAGGGGGCUAGCGUUGUUCGGAUUUACUGGGCGUAAAGCGCACGUAGGCGGAUCUUUAAGUCAGAGGUGAAAUCCCAAGGCUCAACCUUGGAACUGCCUUUGAUACUGGGGAUCUUGAGUCCGGGAGAGGUGAGUGGAACUGCGAGUGUAGAGGUGAAAUUCGUAGAUAUUCGGAAGAACACCAGUGGCGAAGGCGGCUCACUGGACCGUUGUUGACGCUGAGGUGCGAAAGCGUGGGGAGCAAACAGG
rnacentral:rRNA from 1 species